rnacentral:rRNA from 1 species
AUACGGGAGGCAGCAGUGGGGAAUAUUGGACAAUGGGGGCAACCCUGAUCCAGCAAUGCCGCGUGUGUGAAGAAGGCCUGCGGGUUGUAAAGCACUUUCAGUAGGGAAGAAAAGCUCGGGAUUAAUACUCCCGGGUCUUGACGUUACCUAAAGAAGAAGCACCGGCUAACUCCGUGCCAGCAGCCGCGGUAAUACGGAGGGUGCGAGCGUUAAUCGGAAUUACUGGGCGUAAAGAGCACGUAGGCGGUUGGGUAAGUCGGAUGUGAAAGCCCUGGGCUUAACCUGGGAACUGCAUUCGAUACUGCCUGGCUAGAGUAUGGGAGAGGGAAGCGGAAUUUCCGGUGUAGCGGUGAAAUGCGUAGAUAUCGGAAGGAACACCAAUGGCGAAGGCAGCUUCCUGGCCCAAUACUGACGCUCAGGUGCGAAAGCGUGGGGAUCAAACAGGAUUAGAUACCCUGGU